rnacentral:rRNA from 1 species
CAAAACGACAGGNGAGUUUAAGCUACUAAAGCAUUAGCGGUUGGUUUNANGAUCUUAAACCCUGGCCGGGUAGUUUGACAUGCCUAAUACAUGCAGUCGAGCGAACAGAGAAGNGCCGCCUGCUCCUUCGACGUUAGCGGCGGACGGGUGAGUAACACGUGGGCACCUACCUUAUAGUGGGAUAACUCCGGGAAACCGGGGCUAAUACCUGAAUAAUCUAUUUUACUUCAUGGUGAAAUACCGAAAGACGGUUUCNGCUGUCGCUAUAAGAUGGGCCCGCAGGCGCACUUAGCUAGUUGUGUGAGUGUAACUGGCUCACCAAGGCGACGAUAGCGUAGCCGACCUGAGAGGGUGAUCGGACCACACUAGGAGAACUAGAANAACAACGGGCCCCAGCACAUCCAUAACGAGGGAAGAGCAGCACAAGGAAGUCGAGAAAUACUAUCACACACAAAAAAUGGGGAGCCGCAAAAGCCUAAGAAUNGAGAGCCAAACNGACCGANGNGGAGGUAGCAAAAACACAAGAGGAUUANAACUCGAGAAUACCNGAAUAAAAACAACCAUUNACAAGAUAAGAUAACAA